CCAAGUAGAUCCUGCAAGUUAUAUGCUAGCCAUUUUCAGAAAUGAUGCUCUUAGGGAGCUUUCUUCUCCAGGGAAGAGUGGCAGCUUCUUUUACUUGACUCAGGAUGAUAGAUUCAUGAUAAAGACUGUCAAAAAAUCGGAAGUCAAGAGAAUGACUUGGUUGAACGAUUCAUGAAUGUAUUAAUGAAUGUCAAGAUAUCAAGGUAAAUUAUCUUGAAGUUAAAAUUUUUCCCCCCUGAUAAACGAACAAUGAUUAACCUUUUAUGUGCACAAUAAGAUGUUGGCACUUGGUAAGUCUUGUUCUGUCAUGAACAGUAUUGUUACAUCCAACCUUCUUUAUUCUUUCUUUUCAGGUUUCCUCUUAUUUAUUGUGGAAUUCCAUUUGAAUUCCACCGGAAUGUGUUUUAUUAUGAAGUGAAGAGAUCUGGAUCAUAACUUCUCUACAUUCUUGUAAAAUGUCAGCAACAGUUCAUAUGCAGCUAAUGGGAGAGGAAAGGCAGCAGCCAAUACACCCAACCGGAUAUUGAUCGAGUGCGAAAUGAGUGGGGGAAGUUUGUUGUCAACAUAUAUGUGCAUGAGCCAUGAAGUAGC